rnacentral:misc_RNA from 1 species
UUUGGCUUGCGCAACAACUGCCACCCGACUUACCUCUUCAGUUGCUUACCUAGGUGUUUAUAUCACCUAUGCGGAUGGGGUUUCCUGUGUUGCCUACCUAAGUCAUGGUAUUGUCUUGAUCGAAUGAAUUAGCCUUCGUCUUUUGUCAUCCGCUUGGCAUGAGAUGAACCUUGAAGCUAUCUCUUUGAUCCACAUCAUUAGUGCUUGCAUUAAUGUUGUGGCCCAUUGAGCAUUGCUUGUUAUCAUGGAUAUGGAACCUGAUGUGGGCAUAGGGUCUCAUGGAGCCCUUGUUCUGCCCUUGUUUAGCGUUCACGCUUCUCUUUAAAUGACCGCCCAUCCCGCAUGGGCUUGUACCGGCGGGUGGGAUAUGUCAAAGAGGAAUGC